rnacentral:lncRNA from 1 species
CCUUCUUCUACCCACCUGAUAUUGGCCAUGGAAGAACACUGUAUGGCUGAGCCAGAACUCCUGUUUUUGAGAAGCCAGGAAUGCUACUGAUCUGACAUUCAGAGCAAUACCCUGAAGAUGUGCCUCUUCAUCACCUUCCCAGUCUCUGAGCUCAAGUUGGGGAUCCUUGUGCCACCCUGAAUCAGCACCGGCUUCCCUGGGCCACACCAGCUGAGCCAGUACAACUGCUCUGCCAGCAUUGGCAUUGGGACUGGAGAGGGCAUUUUGGGUCCGCUGGGCUCUGCACAGUGGUGGAGGCUGGCAUGGGAAGGACCUUGAGUGCUUGCUCUGCCAGGUGAGACGUGGAUAAAGGACACCCAGGUCUGCCACACUUCCUGCUCUUGGUGAUUGAAUGUGAAUAUUUAGCUGCCACAGUGGGUAGGAGGGUGUAAUUUUCUUAUUUUUAGAUGUUUAGAGACAGAACUGAUGAUAAGGCUUUGACAGAAAAUGACUGACAUGUGGAUUUUGAU